rnacentral:rRNA from 1 species
UAGAUGGCGACCGGCGCGCGGGUGAGUAACACGUAUCCAACCUGCCGAUAACUCGGGGAUAGCCUUUCGAAAGAAAGAUUAAUACCCGAUGGUAUAAUCAGACCGCAUGGUUUGAUUAUUAAAGAAUUUCGGUUAUCGAUGGGGAUGCGUUCCAUUAGGCAGUUGGUGAGGUAACGGCUCACCAAACCUUCGAUGGAUAGGGGUUCUGAGAGGAAGGUCCCCCACAUUGGAACUGAGACACGGUCCAA